rnacentral:lncRNA from 1 species
CAAAAUUUCAUGUAGUAUUUCUGAGCAUAUCUAAUCAUAAAUAUAUACUACUUGUGAUUAUAUGGUAGGUACUGAAAUGUACUGAAUGGAUGUGAAAUUGGUUCCUCUCUGCCCUCUUUUUUCUUUCUCCCAUCAGCCGCCCGCUCUCUCUUGUAGCUGUUCUGCUUUAUGGAGCUCUAGUCGUGUUUCUGAUGGUUGUGGAUUUUCUGUGGUUCUGUCGCGAGCGAGGUCUCACUGUCACGGCAGCUCUGAGAAACUACUUCACCUGCCUCAACUGGGCCACCAGCCUCAGUGCUCCUAAUGGCAACCAGCCCCAGCGUUGUCAUGGCAACAGGAACCCAUCUCCUCCACAUAGGCACAGGAACCCGCAGAGUCUUCCUUGUCUCCAAGGCAACAGGAUCUGCCAGGCUUCUGACACAGGCUUCAGCAGCAACCAGAAUACAGAGCUUUCUCACCUGGACCCUGAAAUGAGCUUCUGAAUUCUCAACAUCCUGAAGCACAUAUGGCGCCGUG